GGCCAUGAAGAAAAUAGAAGACAACAACACGCUUGUGUUAUUGGAUGUUAAGGCCAACAAGACCCAAAUCAAACAGGCCGUGAAGAAACACGUCAAUUGACAUUGAUGCGGCCAAAGUCAAUACCCUGAUAUGGCCUGGCGGAGAGAAGAAGGCAUAUGUUCGCUUGGUUCCUUAUUAUGACGCUCUAGAUGCUGCCAACAAGAUUGGGCUCAUCUAAAGUGAGUCCAGAUGGUUAAUUCUAAAUAUAUACUUUUACCAUAA
rnacentral:lncRNA from 1 species